UCUCUUUCCUCUUCUCUCUUCUCUCUUCUUCCAAAAAAAAAAUCCUACUAGGACAAAAUGAUGAUUGCAAGACAUAAUUUAAAGCCUACAAGCCUAUAAGGUCACUGAGAAAAAAAUAGAUUCUAUUAGACAACCUAAAACUCUACAGAACCUGUGUUACCCAGUUAGCUCUGUCCAACCAUCUAGAAUUAGAUUCUCAGCUAAUAAUUUUAUAAUUGGCCCUCAAACGAUUAACAUGCAUCCUACAUUCACUAGAAUUGAAGAUGCAUAUAUUUAUACAAGGGAGUUUGAAGAUACUAGAAUUGUAACCUUGACCAGUAGAAUUGAAGCCUUAGAAUUCGAAAGACAUAUCCAAUUUAACCAAGUGCUAGCAUUGAUGUGUGCUAAAUGUGAUGCAUCAGAUCAUG
rnacentral:lncRNA from 1 species